rnacentral:rRNA from 1 species
CGUGUGGUUCUAUUUUGUUGGUUUCUAGGACCGCCGUAAUGAUUAAUAGGGACAGUCGGGGGCAUCAGUAUUCAAUUGUCAGAGGUGAAAUUCUUGGAUUUAUUGAAGACUAACUACUGCGAAAGCAUUUGCCAAGGAUGUUUUCAUUAAUCAGGAACGAAAGUUAGGGGAUCGAAGACGAUCAGAUACCGUCGUAGUCUUAACCAUAAACUAUGCCGACUAGGGAUCGGACGAUGUUAUUUUUUGACUCGUUCGGCACCUUACGAGAAAUCAAAGUGCUUGGGCUCCAGGGGGAGUAUGGUCGCAAGGCUGAAACUUAAAGAAAUUGACGGAAGAGCACCACCAGGGGUGGAGCCUGCGGCUUAAUUUGACUCAACACGGGGAAACUCACCAGGUCCAGGCACAAUGAGGAUUGACAGAUUGAGAGCUCUUUCUUGAUUUUGUGGGUGGUGGUGCAUGGCCGUUCUUAGUUGGUGGAGUGAUUUGUCUGCUUAAUUGCGAUAACGAACGAGACCUUAACCUGCUAAAUAGCCCGUAUUGCUUUGGCAGUACACCGGCUUCUUAGAGGGACUAUCGGCUCAAGCCGAUGGAAGUUUGAGGCAAUAACAGGUCUGUGAUGCCCUUAGAUGUUCUGGGCCGCACGCGCGCUACACUGACGGAGCCAGCGAGUCCUUCCUUGUCCGAAAGGUCCGGGUAAUCUUGUUAAACUCCGUCGUGC